UCUCUGGUGGCUUAGAUGGUAAAGCAUCUACCUACAAUGUUGGAGACCCAGGUUUGAUCCCUGGGUCGGGAA
rfam:TPA: Bos taurus chromosome 12, whole genome shotgun sequence.